UGAGGUAUUUUAUUUUAAAAUUAUUGUUAAAUAUUGUAUUUGCCUAAAGUAAUACAAUGUAAGUUACUUUUAAUUUUCUAUCUCGGUUAUCGGAGAUAUGAUACUACUGUUAUUACAAAAUAACUAUUUUUAUUUAGGCGCCUCUAAGACAUCAAGCAGUGACUUGACUAGGGGCCUAGCUUAAAAUGGUAGGCACAAGCUUUCCCUGUGGGAUUGUUAAAUAGAAAUGCCAACUUUUUUAUGCCUUUCAGGUGAUAUUUAUAUAUUUACGUAACAUAGGUAAUUUCCAUCUCAUCAAUUUGUAAAAUGACAUGUAUAAAAUGAAUGCCUGAUUAAUUGUUAAAGUAUACUACACAUGUGUUUCUUCUGCGUUUUGUGAAAUGUAAGCCGAUGCUUGAGGCACGUGCCGCGGGAGAUCCAAGUAUCGACUCAUCUCAACUGCCUUUUGGACAAACUGUGAACUUAGAGGGUGAACUUAGAGGACCUGAGACCUUUGUGUAACACUGUGACUUCUGCAAAGAGCACUUCAACCACAAUUAGCAUCUGAGAAUCUGAAGAACAUAAGGUAAUGAAAACAUCCUCUCUUGUAGUGAAAUAAAACAGUUACAUGUGAAAAUGACUGGCUUCCAAAAGAAAAUCUACACAGGCAACCUGAGAUGUAAGGCAGAACAACAGCAGGUAAGAUGGCAGAGGAUAACGGAGAAUUAAUUCAAAAACACUGGCAUUGAAGAAAGCAUUUAGGACAGGGGUUCCUAAACUUUUUUUAAGCCAAGUUAUCCCAACAACGUUGUACCAUCUGCAGAGCCGGUUCUAGGAUUUUUGCUGCUGUUGGCGAAGUUGUAAAUGGCGCCCCACCAUCCCCUUUUCUUUGAGAAGGAAUCAUCAC